rnacentral:tRNA from 1 species
GGGGUUGUGGCUCAGUGGUACAGCCCUUGCCUAACAAGUGUGAGGCACUGGACUCAAAUCUCAACACUACAUACAAGUAAAUAAAUAAAUGUCUAUUUACAACUAAAAUAUAUAUAUUUAAAAGGGGGGAGGCUUGGGAUAUAGCUCUGUAGAAAGAAUCCCUGGGUUCAGUUCCCAGUACCGCCA